ensembl:lncRNA
GGGCAAAGGUUUGCUAAUUCAUUGCUCAGGUACUCCUGUGGUUUUUCGAUGAUGCAGACAUCUGAUGUCUAGCUAAAUUGGGAGGUAAGCCCCUCACAUCCCUUUGAACAUCCUUUUCCCAUCUCUGCUAGUAUUGUGUUCCUUUCUCAACGCCCAGGACUGUCCUUCCCUCAGGAGGAGACAGAUGAUAGUCUGUCCGGCCCCUCUUGCUGCUUAUCUGGGGGCCCAGAGUGGUCUCAACCUGGUCUCUACGUGGUCUCUACCUGUGGGGGCUGGGAGAGGCAGGUAAGGGAGUCUGAGACCAAGGCUGAAAGUUAAGUAGCCUCCACAGCCAGUAUAACAGGUUGAUGGUCUAGGAAGCCAGAUGGGUCCUUACAUCAGCCCUGUGAGGACUUUUGAAUUUGGAUUCCAAUUAAAAUGGCCUAUUCUGGACUUCCCUGGUGGUGCGGCAGAUAAGAAUCCACCUGUCAAUGCAAGGGACGCAGGUUCGAUCCCUGGUCCGGGAGGGUUCCACGUGAUGCAGAGUAACUAAAGCCUGCGUGCCACAAGUACUGGGCCUGCAUGCUAGAGCCCGAGAGCCACAACUACGGAGCCCGUGUGCUGCAACUGAGGAAGCCUGGAGCCUGUGUGCUGCACAGGAAAAGCCACUGCAACGAGAAGCCUGUGCACCGCCACGAAGAGCAGCCCCCGCUCCACGCAGCUAGAAAAAAGCCUGAGCACAGUAACAAAGACCCAGUGCAACCAAAAGGCAUAGACUGCAGGAGUCGCGCCCCACAGGCUUAGUUGCCCCGAGGCAUGUGGGAUCUUAGUUCCUGGACCAAGCAUCGAACCCAUGUCCCCUGCAUUGCAAGGUGGAUUUUUAACCACUGGACCAUCAGGGAAGCCCAAGGCUGUUCUUUUUAUGUGAGAGAAAAGCCUUUUCCAGAAAGGGCUCCAGAAGACUCUCUCUCAGUGGUCUACUAGCCAGCAGUGGGUCACACGCUCAGGCCUUAGCUGCAAGGAAGGCGGGGAAAGCCAUCAUUUGGCAUUUUCAGUCUCAUAGUGGGAUGCAGACUCUGUCAGCAGGAAGAAGAA